rnacentral:tRNA from 1 species
GCCGGAAUAGCUCAGUUGGGAGAGCGUUAGACUGAAGUUGUUUACGCAACAAUCAUCUAAAGGCCCCCGUUUCAAUCCUGGGUACGGCA